rnacentral:rRNA from 1 species
GACGGAGGAGGCUAGCGUUGUUCGGAAUUACUGGGCGUAAAGCGUGCGCAGGCGGCUGCACAAGUCAGGGGUGAAAGCCCGGGGCUCAACCUCGGAACUGCCUUUGAGACUGUGCGGCUGGAGACCGAGAGAGGAGAGUGGAAUUCCCAGUGUAGAGGUGAAAUUCGUAGAUAUUGGGAAGAACACCAGUGGCGAAGGCGGCUCUCUGGCUCGGUACUGACGCUCAUGCACGAAAGCGUGGGGAGCAAACAGG